UCCCUGGUGGCUCAGCGGUUAAAGUAUCUGCCUGCAAUGCAGGAGACCUGGGUUUAAUCCCUGGGUGGGGAA
rnacentral:tRNA from 1 species